rnacentral:rRNA from 1 species
AGCAGCCGCGGUAAUUCCAGCUCCAAUAGCGUAUAUUAAAGUUGUUGCAGUUAAAAGCUCGUAGUUGAAUUUCGGGACCAAUUUGUUGGUCGUGCCUCGGUACGUACUGGUAUUAUUGGUUUCCCCCUUCUGAAGAACCAUGAUGCCAUUAAUUUGGUGUCGUGGGGAAUCAGGACUGUUACUUUGAAAAAUUAGAGUGUUUAAAGCAGGCAUACGCUUGAAUACAUUAGCAUGGAAUAAUGAAAUAGGACGUUUGAUUCUAUUUUGUUGGUUUCUAGGAUCGACGUAAUGAUUAAUAGGGAUAGUUGGGGGCAUUAGUAUUCAAUUGUCAGAGGUGAAAUUCUUGGAUUUAUUGAAGACUAACUACUGCGAAAGCAUUUGCCAAGGAUGUUUUCAUUAAUCAAGAACGAAAGUUAGGGGAUCGAAGACGAUCAGAUACCGUCGUAGUCUUAACCAUAAACUAUGCCGACUAGGGAUCGGAUGAUGUUAAUUUUUAAUGACUCA